UAAUACGAAGGGGGCUAGCGUUGCUCGGAAUCACUGGGCGUAAAGGGCGCGUAGGCGGCCGAUCAAGUCAGAGGUGAAAGCCCAAGGCUCAACCUUGGAAUUGCCUUUGAUACUGUUCGGCUCGAGACCGGAAGAGGUAAGUGGAACUGCGAGUGUAGAGGUGAAAUUCGUAGAUAUUCGCAAGAACACCAGUGGCGAAGGCGGCUUACUGGUCCGGUUCUGACGCUGAGGCGCGAAAGCGUGGGGAGCAAACAGGAUUAGAUACCCUGGUAGUCCACGCCGUAAACGAUGGAUGCUAGCCGUUGGCAGGCUUGCCUGUCAGUGGCGCAGCUAACGCUUUAAGCAUCCCGCCUGGGGAGUACGGUCGCAAGAUUA
rnacentral:rRNA from 1 species